CCCACCACGUCUCUGGGAAAUGAAUGGGGAAUGGUGCAUACAUACCAUGUGUACUACAGCAAGUAAUUUGUACCUCACAUACCUCACCUGGCUUAUGCUCUGGGUCACUCCGCAGCCAUGAUUUGCCUCCUGAACAAGAGGAGCAACAGUUCCAGAUGGAAGAUACCUGGAAAACCUUAAUCCAUCACCAAUGGCGCAAUGGACCCACCUGCAAUGGCCACCCACACCCAUGCAGUCUGAGAGCAGCGUGCAACUUGGAAACUCAGAGAUCAGAAAGGUCUUCUGCUACAGAAAAAGUCCCCAGGGGCUCCUCCGUGUUCUUUCUGUGGCUCCCACAUCCAGUUCCCUGUGUGCACAUUGCUGCAGCAGGUGAACAAUGCUUCUCAGGGCUCCAGCUGGACCCCCUCCCACCAUAGCCUACUGCUUCAACAAGUGCCAGGGCUGGCAUGAAAGAAGCCUUUCAGAGAAAACAGACCAGCCCAGUCACUCCAGACAAGAGGCUGCAAUAGGUUGUAAGUUGGCAGAGCUCUUGGCGCUCCUCAGUGCCCCGUUUUUACAACACGGCUGCUGCAUUGCCAGCCAUGUCUGUUUUGCUGAUUCCUACUUCUACUCACUGCUAAGACCUAAGGGAGUCUGAGAUGGAGCUGCUGGGAGGUAAAGAUGAUGUGAAGACAUUUGAAAGCACUGGGGUAGUGCUGUGACAUAGACCCCAAUCUAGCCCAAAACUGAACUUGGUUGGAGUCAGAGCACUCACCCCUGCACCCAAACCUCUGGGCCAUGGAGGAACAGCCUGGCACAGCCCCUGCUGGUGUGCCAAAGGGCUCUCUGCCCCCUCUGCAAUUCUCAUACUUGGCAACCGGAGAGAAGUAAUUAAAUAUUUAGGAAAGGUUUACAGUUUGGAUCCAAGAUCCAGUUUAUAUUCUGUAACCUCCCCUUUAUUUUAGCAUGUUCAGUAACAAACUGAGUUUGUGACAUGACAGUGGCUUCAGAUCAUGUUUGAGCUGCUUGUGGCUGCAUCCUCAGCUGAUGCUUUUGAAGACAGCAGUCACAGGGCAUUUGCCAUGUUUCCUUCUUGCCUUCAUUCCACCACUGUAGGUACAAGUUGUUUGUGGGAAUCUUCAAGCAGGCUUUUUGCAAACUUAAAAGCUGUGUUAAUUAAAUAAGAAAAAGCAUCCUACCCUUACAAAUAAUUAUACUGCUUUAUUUUUCAGUAUCACAAUCUCAGGAAAUGAAACAGUCCAGAUCCUUUCCAAGAUAUUAGAUAGCUUUUUUUCCAUCUGUCUGUCCACAAAAUAAUCAAAUUAAGUACAAAUUUGUUUGUUUGCUACAUUUAUUGCAGUGGAAGAACGUAAUCACUGGUAGAAGCAGCUGAGCUUCAGAACAAAGCGUGGAACAAAGUGUUGUUUUCUCCUGCUUUUGUGAAACCCACUUCAAUGUUUCCAGAAAAAGCACACGGAGGGACAGAAGGAUGUGGUGGGUAACAAAAUACAGCGGUUUAUUGAACAAAAUGGGGCAAGGCAAUGUUCCCUUUACAUUCAAUGAGAAUUCAGGAGCAUGAAGCAAAACAUGCUAUACACACGCACACACACAGACAUGAUACUUUGGUUAAAUGUCAUUCAGAAGUUCUAUGCCAAACCUGGUAAAAUUAUAGAGUGAACAGUCAAAAAUUGAAAACAAGAA